rnacentral:rRNA from 1 species
AGGCAGCAGUGAGGAAUAUUGGUCAAUGGGCGAGAGCCUGAACCAGCCAAGUAGCGUGAAGGAUGAACUGCCCUUAUGGGUUGUAAACUUCUUUUAUAAAGGAAUAAAGUCGGGUAUGGAUACCCGUUUGCAUGUACUUUAUGAAUAAGGAUCGGCUAACUCCGUGCC